CAGGUCGUAGCUAAAAUAGAAAAGCAUCUCCCUUACACUGAGAAGUCACCCGUGCAAAUCGAGUCGCCCUGACACCCAAC
rnacentral:tRNA from 1 species